GGUGGAUGCCCUGGCAGUCAGAGGCGAUGAAGGACGUGCUAAUCUGCGAUAAGCGCCGGUAAGGUGAUAUGAACCGUUAUAACCGGCGAUUUCCGAAUGGGGAAACCCAGUGUGAUUCGUCACACUAUCAUUAACUGAAUCCAUAGGUUAAUGAGGCGAACCGGGGGAACUGAAACAUCUAAGUACCCCGAGGAAAAGAAAUCAACCGAGAUUCCCCCAGUAGCGGCGAGCGAACGGGGAGGAGCCCAGAGCCUGAAUCAGCAUGUGUGUUAGUGGAAGCGUCUGGAAAGGCGCGCGAUACAGGGUGACAGCCCCGUACACAAAAGCGCAUGUGCUGUGAGCUCGAUGAGUAGGGCGGGACACGUGGUAUCCUGUCUGAAUAUGGGGGGACCAUCCUCCAAGGCUAAAUACUCCUGACUGACCGAUAGUGAACCAGUACCGUGAGGGAAAGGCGAAAAGAACCCCGGCGAGGGGAGUGAAAAAGAACCUGAAACCGUGUACGUACAAGCAGUGGGAGCACCCUUCGGGGUGUGACUGCG
rnacentral:rRNA from 1 species